UCGAGUGCGCCUGUCCCUGUGGUGGGAGCAGUGGCGCCGAGCGUGCCCACGGGCCGCCGCUUGGGUUUCUCUCGUGUUCAGGGUAGUAUGGACGUGGACAAUGGCAGUGGCCCCUGGCUGGCCCAAGAGCCGGGUCCAGAUACGCGCGCCUGAUUCCAGGCGUCAUAACCAACCCGGGGCCGCGAGGCUGGGAUCAGGCACCCCGGAGCCGCUUGCCCGUGGCCGGGCUGCUCUCCCCCUCUAAGCCUAAGCACCGCCAGUCGCGGCGCUGCGCUUUCCGCCGACCUCCCAGAGCGUCCCGCCGUCGCCGGCGGCCAGCCUCGCGCAGGACCAGUGUGGCGCCGCCCUGCUGUUGCUGGGGGGCGCCCGAGGCCUCCAUUCCUUGCCCAGGCUUCCGGCUCUCGGGGCGGCCUCCCUUCCGCCCACGCUCCAGGGCUUCCCCGGCUCCCGAGCUCCGAGCUUCCACCACAUCGGCCGGCUCAGGACAGAACCCAGAGUUGAUCUCUGCAGCAUGCCAUCACUGCUGGGGAUGAGGAAACGGUGAUUUCAGGACUGUUUUUUCUGUCUCUUCAGUGCCUCUUUCAGUGAUCUGAGGUUAAAACCAGAGGGACAAUCAGUGGAGCCUUCUUUCUGCCGUCUUGCUUUACUCUCACGCCCAAGAAUCAGAAUUCAGAACUUUUAAUAAGAAAAGCUUUCAGAACUCAGGAAGGACAAGGAAGACAUUCUGGUUCUCCAUGCUUAACAUUGGACUGUUUCUUCAACUGAGACUAUGGAGGAUUCAUCAACAGACCAGGAAGCAACAGCCUGGGCUCCAGAAUUGACCAGUAGUCCGUGCACAGACGAGGAGAGGUCCCAUGAAACUUCGGCGCAGUCUGGGAACCGAGCUCUUUUUGUAACAAGUUGUUUGUCAGGAGGCCCGGUCAUGAAAGCCCUUCCUGACUGGGCUCAAGGAAUACAAAAAGGACAACUUGUUUUUGCCAUUGUCUGUUGUUUUUCAAUAACUAGUUCUCCGAAACAGCACUGGAUGAAUGCCUCAAGGGGCUCACACAACUCGUUCCAGGACUUAGUGACCAUUGUUUCUGUCCCUGUUCAAUAGAGUUCAAAUUUAAUAUUUAAAUUUUGCUCCACAAUGUGCCAUAUUAUCUGUAUCCAACCUGUCAUUGGGCAUUUAGGUUGAUUCCAUGUCUUUACUAUUGUGAAUAAUGCUGCAAUAAACAUUUACGUGCUUGUGUCUUU
rnacentral:lncRNA from 1 species